rnacentral:misc_RNA from 1 species
CAAAAUUCAUGUGAAUUUUAUAAAAAUUUUUGCUUUGGCUGAAAUUAAUAUAUAUAUAUAUAUAUAUUCGGCCAAAAGUUUUUAAUUAAAACCUUUUUAUUUAUAAACAUUUUGAAUCUGAAGAACUGUUUUAUGAAAAAUUUAUUUA